CUAGGUUAAUGCCCUCUUCCACUGUAUUCAGUCUUUUAAAGUCUCCUGUCAAAUGAGAUCAAAUGAGAAUAUGGAAGAACUUCAGAAACUAUUUUUUUUGCAAUGCACCGUUCAUCAGUAGAAUCACAUUGUCUAUCAUGUAACUGCACCUGGUGUAGAAGAGGGUUCAAUCGUUAGGAAAACAGUUGCAUGAGAAUAAGAAGCAUCCCUCAGAUGAGGAACUGGAGGCCCAGACAGGUAAAAAUCUCACCCAUAAUGACACAGCUAACAAUGAAGAGGGCUGAGAAUCAGACUCAGACAAGGCUGCUUCUGAAACUUUUCUCUUAACGCUCAGAUUAUGCUGUGUUUAGUUGUCAAGGAUGACACAUAGGUUUCUAGGUUUAACAGUUAGAAGCCGGAGCCAUUUAUUGAGAUGAGAGCACUGGAGGAAGAACCGGUUGUAGUGGGAGCUGAUGCUUUGGACUGAAUGAGUUUAGAUGCCCAGGAGGAGAUGCCAAAUAGGCCUCAGACGUCUAAGUCCUGAAGAGACAGCUGUGGACCAGAGACAUUUAGGGAGCAUAGGCAGGGAGGGGGUGCUAGUUUAAAGGGGGAAGCAGAUGUCUUGGGAAUGCUUGAGACUACAUUCUAGAGUGUAUGUCAAGAGUUCUGUCCUGAGAACUCUGGGGAACCCCAACAUUUAAGGACCUUGACAGAACCUGAGAAGGAAUGACCAGAUGGUAGGAAGAAAACCAGGGAAGAGGAGUCUAGGAAGAAGAGGUUAAAGGCCACAGGAAAGUCAAGGUAGACACUGAAGCAAGGGGUUCUCAGGAUGCAGCCACUAAGAGGUCAUCUGGCACCACAAAACAUGUUCAGUGGAGUUUGCUUGUGGAAAGGAAAGGGGAGAAGCCAGAAACCUGACCACUGUGUGUUUAAAAUGAGUGGGAAGUACAGAGGUUUUUGGUUUGUUUAAUUGUUUUGUGUUUUAAAAGAGUUUAAACUAUAAAGCAGGGGAAGGUAACUGUAUGGAGACCCGGGGGCCAGAGGAGCUUUGGACUUUCAGUUUUGGUGGUUUUUUGUUGUUUUUUUUUAAGAUGGGAGAGAAGAGAACACGUUUAAGAGCUGAGGGGAAAGAGGCGGCCAAGAGGCUGAGGUGGUGGCUCAGAAGAUGGAAGGGACAGCCAAGCGAUGAGACAAGGUCCUCCACGUUUGGCAGUGAUGAGACUCAACCGCUGCACAAUUUAGGCUUGAAAAGAACACC